GCCCGCCAGUAUUCUGGCGGGCAUGCCUGUUCGAGCGUCAUUUCAACCCUCAAGCCCAGCUUGGUGUUGGGAGCUGCAGUCCUGCUGCACUCCCCAAAUACAUUGGCGGUCACGUCGAGCUUCCAUAGCGUAGUAAUUUACACAUCGUUACUGGUAAUCGUCGCGGCCACGCCGUUAAACCCCAACUUCUGAAUGU
rnacentral:misc_RNA from 2 species